rnacentral:rRNA from 1 species
CUGGACGCAGUCACAGAGGGUGAGAAUCCCGUCUAGGAUCGUACGCCGCGUCCAUGUGAAGCUCCUUCGACGAGUCGAGUUGUUUGGGAAUGCAGCUCUAAAUGGGUGGUAAAUUUCAUCUAAAGCUAAAUAUUGGCCAGAGACCGAUAGCGCACAAGUAGAGUGAUCGAAAGAUGAAAAGCACUUUGAAAAGAGAGUUAAACAGUAUGUGAAAUUGUUGAAAGGGAAGCGCUUGCAAUCAAACUUGUGUCUGACGGUUCCCCCGGCCUUCUGGCCGGGUUACUCCGUCAUGUCCAGGCCAACAUCGGUUUGGGUGGUCGGUGAAAGACCCCGGGAAUGUAUCUACCUUCGGGUCGACUUAUAGCCCGGGGUGCAACGCGGCCUACCCGGACCGAGGAACGCGCUCCGGCUCGGAUGUUGGCGUAAUGGUUGUAAGCGGCCCGUCUUGAAACACGGACCAAGGAGUCUAACAUCUAUGCGAGUGUUUGGGUGUUAAACCCCUACGCGUAAUGAAAGUGAACGGAGGUAAGAACCCCGUAAGGGGCGCAUUAUCGACCGAUCCUGAUGUCUUCGGAUGGAUUUGAGUAAGAGCAUAGCUGUUGGGACCCGAAAGAUGGUGAACUAUGCAUGAAUAGGGUGAAGCCAGAGGAAACUCUGGUGGAGGCUCGCAGCGGUUCUGACGUGCAAAU